rnacentral:rRNA from 1 species
AGCCUUAAGAUUAUAUUUAAGGUAAUGCCUGCCCAGUGCUAAAGUGUUAACGGCCGCAGUACCUUGACUGUGCUAAGGUAGCAUAAUCAGUUGGCUUUUAAAUGGAGUCGGGAAUGAAUGGAUUUAUAGGGUAAAGCUGUCUUUUUUAUACUUUAUUGAAUUUAAUUAUUAGGUGAAAAUACCUAAAAUUAAGAAAAAAGACGAGAAGACCCUAGGAGUUUUUACUAAUGGUCAAUUUAAGUUGGCUUCUGGUUUUUGUUGGGGCGACAUAGGAACAAAUAACUUCCUUAUUUUAUAGGCCGACUACGUAUGAAUAAUAAAACUACCCUAGGGAUAACAGCGUAAUUCUUUAUGGAGCUUGCGACCUCGAUGUUGGACUAGGAAUUUGAUUGGCUAGCCGCCACUUUAUAUUGUUCUGUUCGAACUUAAUUUCCU